rnacentral:rRNA from 1 species
CCUACGGGUGGCUGCAGUGAGGAAUAUUGGUCAAUGGUCGCGAGUCUGAACCAGCCAUGCCGCGUGCGGGAAGACGGUACUAUGAAUCGUAAACUUCUUUUGUCCGGGAGUAAACACUGAUACGCGUAUCCGGCUGAACGUAUCGGACGAAUAAGCAUCGGCUAACUCCGUGCCAGCAGCCGCGGUAAUACGGAGGAUUCGAUCGUUAUCCGGAUUUAUUGGGUUUAAAGGGUGCGUAGGCGGUCGGAUAAGUUAGAGGUGAAAUCCCGAGGCUCAACUUCGGAAUUGCCUCUGAAACUGUUCGUCUAGAGAGGAGGUGCGGUAGGCGGAAUGUAUGGUGUAGCGGUGAAAUGCUUAGAGAUCAUACAGAACACCGAUUGCGAAGGCAGCAUACCAGGCUACUUCUGACGUUGAGGCACGAAAGCGUGGGGAGCAAACAGGAUUAGAUACCCUAGUAGUC